rnacentral:rRNA from 1 species
UGGCGGACGGGUGAGUAACGCGUGAGAAUCUGGCUUUAGGUCUGGGACAACCACUGGAAACGGUGGCUAAUACCGGAUGUGCCGAAAGGUGAAAGGUUAACUGCCUGAAGAUGAGCUCGCGUCUGAUUAGCUAGUAGGUGUGGUAAAGGCGCACCUAGGCGACGAUCAGUAGCUGGUCUGAGAGGACGAUCAGCCACACUGGGACUGAGACACGGCCCAGACUCCUACGGGAGGCAGCAGUGGGGAAUUUUCCGCAAUGGGCGAAAGCCUGACGGAGCAAUACCGCGUGAGGGAGGAAGGCUCUUGGGUCGUAAACCUCUUUUCUCAGGGAAGAACACAAUGACGGUACCUGAGGAAUAAGCAUCGGCUAACUCCGUGCCAGCAGCCGCGGUAAUACGGAGGAUGCAAGCGUUAUCCGGAAUGAUUGGGCGUAAAGCGUCCGCAGGUGGCUGUGUAAGUCUGCUGUUAAAGAGUCUAGCUCAACUAGAUACAAGCAGUGGAAACUACACGGCUAGAGUACGUUCGGGGCAGAGGGAAUUCCUGGUGUAGCGGUGAAGUGCGUAGAGAUCAGGAAGAACACCAGUGGCGAAGGCGCUCUGCUAGGCCGUAACUGACACUGAGGGACGAAAGCUAGGGGAGCGAAUGGGAUUAGAUACCCCAGUAGUCCUAGCCGUAAACGAUGGAUACUAGGCGUGGCUUGUAUCGACCCGAGCCGUGCCGUAGCUAACGCGUUAAGUAUCCCGCCUGGGGAGUACGCCGGCAACGGUGAAACUCAAAGGAAUUGACGGGGCCCGCACAAGCGGUGGAGUAUGUGGUUUAAUUCGAUGCAACGCGAAGAACCUUACCAAGGCUUGAC